GCCCUCAUAGCUCGAAUCGGUAGAGCGAGCGACUCUUAAGUAGUAUCCUUCAAUGGUUACAGCUUCGAUCGCUAGGUUGUGGGUUCGAGCCCCACUGAAGGCU